AGCCUUCUAUAUCCAUGCUGAGAUUUCGCCAGCGACCAAACCACUGGCGUUGGCUGAUGCAACUCCUCAAAUAAGUGAAGUG
rnacentral:pre_miRNA from 1 species